GGGGUAUUAACUCAGUGGUAGAGUAGCCGACUCUUAAUCGGUUUGUCGAAGGUUCGAAUCCUUCAUGCCCCACCA
rnacentral:tRNA from 1 species